GGUCCCAGUCCACCCCAGUCCAUCCCAGUCCGGUCUCAGUCCACCCCAGUCCAGUCCCUGUCUGCCCCGACCUGUCCCGGUCAGGUCCCAGUCCACCCCAGUCCAGUCCCUGUCCGCUCCGACCCGUCCCGGUGGGUCCCAGUCCACCCCAGUCAGGUCCUAGUCCAUCCCAGUCCAUCCCAGUCCCUCCCAGUCUGGUCCCUGUCUGCCCUGACCCAUCCCAGUCCGGUCUCAGUCCACCCCAGUCCAGUCCCUGUCCGCUCCGACCCGUCCCAGCGGGUCCCAGUCCACCCCAGUCCACCCCAGUCAGGUCCUAGUCCAUCCCAGUCCAUCCCAGUCCCUCCCAGUCUGGUCCCUGUCUGCCCUGACCCAUCCCAGUCAGGUCCUAGUCCACCCCAGUCCAGUCCCUGUCUGCCCCGACCUGUCCCGGCGCAUCCCAGUCAGCCCCAGUCCGUCCCAGUCCGGUCCCAGUCCGGUCCCAGUCCGUCCCAGUCCCUCCCAGUCCAGUCCCUGUCUGCCCUGACCCAUCCCAGUCAGGUCCCAGUCCACCCCAGUCCAGUCCCUGUCCGCCCCGACCUGUCCCGGCGCAUUCCAGUCCACCCCAGUCCAUCCCAGUCAGGUCCCAGUCCAUCCCAGUCCGUCCCAGUCCAGUCCCUGUCCGCCCCAACUCGUCCCGGGCUGUCCCAGUCCGUCCCAGUCAAGUCCCAGUCCAUCCUAGUUAGGUCCCAGUCCACCUGUCAGGUCUCUGUCCAUCCCAGUCCAUCCUAGUCAGGUCCCAGUCCAUCCCAGACAGGUCCCAGUCCAUCCCAGUCCACCCCAGUUCAGUCCCUGUCCACCCCGACCCAUCCUGGUCAGGUCCCAGUCCGUCCCAGUCAUGUCCUAGUCCACCUCAGUCAGGUCCCUGUCCACCCCGAUCCAUCCUGGUCUGCCCCAGUCCAUCCCUGUCUAUCCCAGUCCAGUCCCAGCGUAUCCCGAUCCAUCCCUGUCUGUCCCAGUCCAGUCCCAGUGUGUCCCAGUCCAUCCCUGUCUGUCCCAGUCCAGUCCCAGCGUAUCCCGAUCCAUCCCUGUCUAUCCCAGUCCAGUCCCAGUGUGUCCCAGUCCAUCCCUGUCUGUCCCAGUCCAGUCCCAGUGUGUCCCAGUCCAUCCCUAUCCCAGUCCAGUCCCAGCGUAUCCCGAUCCAUCCCUGUCUGUCCCAGUCCAGUCCCAGUGUGUCCCAGUCCAUCCCUGUCUAUCCCAGUCCAGUCCCAGUGUAUCCCGAUCCAUCCCUGUCUGUCCCAGUCCAGUCCCAGUGUGUCCCAGUCCAUCCCUGUCUAUUCCAGUCCAUCCCAGUCCUAUCCCAGUGUAUCCCGAUCCAUCCCAGUCCAGUCCUAGGGUAUCCCAGUGUAUCCCAGUCCAUCUCCAUCCCUUCCAGUCCAUUCCAGUCCGCUCCCAGUACACCCUAGUCCAUCCCAGUCCAGUCCCAAUGUACCCUAGUUCAUCUCUGUCCGUCCCAGCCCGCCCCAGUCCGCUCUCAGUCCUCCCCAGUGCGCCCAGUUACCGAAGCGCUCCCAGUCCGAGUGGCUCAACGCGUCCAUGAGGCGGCAGAAGCUGCACAUGAGCCAGGCGGGCAGCUCGUACAGGAAGGGCCCGAGCCCCGGCCCCGGCCCC
rnacentral:lncRNA from 1 species